GUUGUGGUCACGGCGAAAACGUCACUCAUGACGUCAUGACUAAUGCUCACGCAAGGCUCACAACGACCCAUCUAAAGAGGUGGGUCAAAGUGAACGUUGAGAAUAAUUCGGCGCAAUUUUUGAAAUUGUUUUUGAAAUAUGAUAUUCAAAGCUUAAAGAUGGCGACAAGAAAAAUAACAUUAUAUGAUUCUGAAAGAGAAAUUGUAGUAGAAGCUAUCGUUUCUGAAGCUGAAGCUGCUCGUGCAGAAAGAGAUGUAUUUUUUGCAACUGAGCUGUUAAGAAAAAUUAUUAAUCAAAAUUCUUAAGCUUCCGCAUCUGUUGAAGUUGAUCAAGAAUCUAGUGAAUUAUACGAUGAAGAGACUUCAGAGAGUUUUAUUGGAGAAGAACGACUUGAUAGUGAUAAUCCAACCGAUCUCAACUCUGAAACUCCAGAAUUUGAAGGAGAAACUUCAGUAUACAGGUGGAACUCACCCUGCGUAUUAUUAUUAUUGGAAUUAUAUAGGUCUAUGGAAGGAACUCUGAACAGUGGAAAAAUUUCUCAAAAACAAGUAUGGAAUAAAAUAUCCCAAGAUAUGAAAAAAAAAGGAUACGAUGUGACGGGACCGCAAUGUCAUUCUAAAAUACGAAGCCUAAAAAAAAACAUAAAUCUACUAAGGAUCAUAACAAUAAGUCAGGAAAUAAUAGAAAGACAUGGCAGUUUUACGAUAUUAUGGAUGAAAUUUUUGGCGAAAAAGUAUGGUGCAAUCCAGUUGCAGUUGCAUCUUCUACUGGUCUGUCGUUGAAAGAAGCAGAAAAUAAUGAUAGUACAGCGGGAUCUGAUAGCGGAUGUUCACUAAAAACAAGUAAGGCGUCGAUAGCAUCUUUACUGGGAAAAAGAUUGCAUCAAAAAGAGGAACAUGAAGAAAA
rnacentral:lncRNA from 1 species